AUUUUGCCAUGAGUUAGAAAAGUUGUUCAACUUAUUGGAAAAAGGGUGAAUGACUUGAUAGGGAGUAAUAUGGAGAAUUGUGCUAUGGAGUAUGUUCCUAAGAAGAUUGAGGAGCUGCUUGUGGGUCAAGAAGUGUUCUUUAAGAUUCAAAGUAUGAAUAGCAAGGAAUAUUAUCGUAGAUAUCAAUAUACGGUCAACAAAAUCUGUAAUAUUCCAAAAGUGGUUGAGAAAUUUGUUCCUCAGAACAUUGCAUCAUAAGUUCUCAAUACUGAUGUCAAUUUGGCUGAUUUACUCUUUGGAUCUGAUAUUGUGGAGGUCUCUGGCAAAGGUUUUGUAACACCUGAUUUAUCAGUUGUUACUAAACAAAAUGGGAUUGAAUGGAUUGCUGACGGAAGUGUGAAGCGAUGAAUGGAAGAUGAGUUUGAUAGCUGUGAUGAUGUCUGUUUUGAGAAGAUAAAGAAGAAGAUGAAGAAAGUGAAUGUGAUUGAAGAUGAAGAUGAGGCUUCUGUCAGCUAUACUCAAGAUUUGUCUGGUGCUGAUUAGAUUUGGGAAAUCUAAAGCGUUUAUCUGUUUUUUAUUUCUUGCUUAAGUGUUUUGAACAUUUCUAAAAUGUCAUCUUAGUUUUUUAGAGGUUUAAUAGUUGGAUUAUGUUACAUCAGGUAAUAGGUAUGGAUUUUGGUUGGGGUCAUUAUCUAUUUUGGUAUUAGUAAACAUUUCUAAGUUGAAUUUUAUUUCUAAUGAUGGCUGAUGGUUGUUUUUGUUGAA